GAUGAACGCUAGCGAUAGGCUUAACACAUGCAAGUCGAGGGGCAGCAUGGUCUUAGCUUGCUAAGACUGAUGGCGACCGGCGCACGGGUGCGUAACGCGUAUGCAACUUGCCUCACAGAGGGGGAUAACCCGUCGAAAGACGGACUAAUACCGCGUACACUCCAUCUUGGGCAUCCAAGGUAGAGGAAAUGAAAUUCGCUGUGAGAUAGGCAUGCGUCCCAUUAGCUAGUCGGUGAGGUAACGGCUCACCAAGGCGACGAUGGGUAGGGGAACUGAGAGGGUGAACCCCCACACUGGUACUGAGACACGGACCAGACUCCUACGGGAGGCAGCAGUGAGGAAUAUUGGUCAAUGGGCGAGAGCCUGAACCAGCCAAGUCGCGUGAAGGAUGACUGUCUUAUGGAUUGUAAACUUCUUUUAUACGGGAAUAACAAGAGUCACGUGUGACUCCCUGCAUGUACCGUAUGAAUAAGCAUCGGCUAACUCCGUG
rnacentral:rRNA from 1 species